rnacentral:rRNA from 1 species
AUUGAACGCUGGCGGCAUGCUUUACACAUGCAAGUCGAACGGCAGCGCGGGCUUCGGCCUGGCGGCGAGUGGCGAACGGGUGAGUAAUACAUCGGAACGUGCCCAGUAGUGGGGGAUAGCUCGGCGAAAGCCGGAUGAAUACCGCAUACGACCUGAGGGUGAAAGCGGGGGAGCUUCGGACCUCGCGCUAUUGGAGCGGCCGAUGGCAGAUUAGCUAGUUGGUGGGGUAAGGGCCUACCAAGGCGACGAUCGGUAGCUGGUCUGAGAGGCCGACCAGCCACACUGGGACUGAGACACGGCCCAGACUCCUACGGGAGGCAGCAGUGGGGAAUUUUGGACAAUGGGCGAAAGCCUGAUCCAGCAAUGCCGCGUGUGUGAUGAAGGCCUUCGGGUUGUAAAGCACUUUUGGCGGGAACGAAAAGGACUGUGCCAAUACCACGGUUCGAUGACGGUACCCGCAGAAUAAGCACCGGCUAACUACGUG